rnacentral:lncRNA from 1 species
AAUUUCACACCUGGAUCUGCUCAGUCAACCAAGAAUCUAGAGAAAGAGCUUCUGCCCUGAAACACAGGGAAAAAUAUAUAUAUAUAUCCUCCACUGCUUCUUUUCACUCUAGAUUUCCUUAGAUUCUCGUCUCUGCCUAACAGGUUUGCACGGGGG